rnacentral:piRNA from 1 species
UCCAGAUAUGCUUAGGCUGGUCCCGU